rnacentral:rRNA from 1 species
GAUGAACGCUGGCGGCGUGCUUAACACAUGCAAGUCGAACGGAAAGGCCCAAGCUUGCUUGGGUACUCGAGUGGCGAACGGGUGAGUAACACGUGGGUGAUCUGCCCUGCACUUCGGGAUAAGCCUGGGAAACUGGGUCUAAUACCGGAUAGGACCACUUCUUGGAUGUUGUGGUGGAAAGUUUUUUCGGUGUGGGAUGAGCUCGCGGCCUAUCAGUUUGUUGGUGGGGUAAUGGCCUACCAAGGCGUCGACGGGUAGCCGGCCUGAGAGGGUGUACGGCCACAUUGGGACUGAGGUACGGCCCAGACGCCUACGGGAGGCAGCAGUGGGGAAGAUUGCACAAUGGGCGCAGGCCUGAUGCAGCGACGCCGCGUGGGGGAUGACGGCCUUCGGGUUGUAGACUCCUUUCGCUAGGGACGAAGCGUUUUGUGACGGUACCUGGAGAAGAAGCACCGGCUAACUACGUG